GUGAAGCUACAGCUUGCUGUAGUGGAAAGUGGCGAAAGGGUGAGUAACACGUGAAUAAUCUGCCCUCAAGUCGGGGAUAGCCUUUGGAAACGAAGAUUAAUACCGGAUGUGGUUACAAGAUCGCAUGGUUUUGUAACUAAAAUUUUUUGCUUGAGGAUGAGUUCGCGGCCCAUUAGCUUGUUGGUAAGGUAACGGCUUACCAAGGCUAUGACGGGUAGGUGGUCUGAGAGGAUGGUCACCCACACUGGGACUGAGACACUGCCCAGACUCCUACGGGAGGCUGCAGUCGAGAAUCUUCCGCAAUGGGCGAAAGCCUGACGGAGCAAUGCCGCGUGAACGAUGAAGGCCUUCGGGUUGUAAAGUUCUGUCACCUGGGGCGAAAUUUGACGGUACCAGGAGAGGAAGUGACGGCUAAUUACGUGCCAGCAGCCGCGGUAAUACGUAAGUCACGAGCGUUAAUCGGAUUUAUUGGGCGUAAAGGGUCCGCAGGGGGUUUGCUAAGUCUGAUGUGAAAGCCAACGGCUCAACCGUUGAACUACAUUGGAAACUGGUGAACUGGAGUAUCGGAGAGGAGAGUGGAAUUCCUGGUGUAGCGGUGGAAUGCUUAGAUAUCAGGAGGAACAUCAAUGGCGAAGGCAGCUUUCUGGACGAUUACUGACCCUCAUGGACGAAAGCGUGGGUAGCAAACAGGAUUAGAUACCCUGGUAGUCCACGCCGUAAACGGUCUACACUAGAUGUGGGGGGGAUUUGACCCCCUCCGCGUCCAAGCUAACGCGUUAAGUGUAGCGCCUGGGGAGUACGGUCGCAAGAUUAAAACUCAAAGGAAUUGACGGGGGCCCGCACAAGCGGUGGAGCAUGUGGCUUAAUUCGAGGCAACGCGAA
rnacentral:rRNA from 1 species